ensembl:lncRNA
CAAAAGAGCACAAUAAUCCCUGAAAUCACACCUCUGUACUUCGACUGCAGUCUUCCCCACUCCUCAGAAAUUCAUUCUGCUGCUGUUCCCUAGGACGACGGAGCACGAGCGAGCUCUUUGCUCCCUUCCGCAGCCGUGGCUGCAUUCAUCACCCAGCCAGCUGGCUGCACCAGUUCCCUUCGGAUUCUCUUUCCCUGACUAAGCAGUGCUGCCAUAAAACUGCAUUGUAUCUGCGCGCUCUGCCCUUCCUCCACAGAUGUUACGAUUUCAAUGGGCAUACACAGUCCCUCAGCAAGGCUAAAAUAAUGCUGUGCCAAGUUCCUCUUGGCCAAGAUACUUCCUGAUGCUGAUUUUCUUAGAGCCGGUGCCAGCAGCGUACCUUUCCCACCCCAAGGACAGUGCGUCUUUGCUUCAUGCCGCCUGGCAGCCCGCCCGCGUGGCAUCCAGGUUCCUUGGGUUCAGCAUGGUUUCCAUAUGAUCAGGUUACAUUAUUUUGGGAUAAUAAAUGACUUUGGAGCACACGGCACUCUCUGGAGCGUAGUCAUUUACGCUCAACAAACAUUUUGCAUACGCAAAUGUAUGCAAAAGACAGAAACAAAACCUAAUCUUAGGAAGAGCUGUUUUUCUCUUGUGGUGCAGUACAGCAAUAGCGCUGAAUGAGGCAUUCUGUAUGAACCUCUACCCCAUGCAAUGAGCUUAUCUCCAGCUGCCUGUUUGUCCAGUUGCUGUGCACUGCCUGAAGCAGAAAGAAGCCUUAUGGAAGAGGUACUGCUGCCUUCCUCCGUAUCUCAUGGGGCUCACAGAGCUUUCCUACUAUUUCUUUCCUAUUGCACAGUAUUGACUACAGUCAGCAAAACACACACACACACAAAACAAAACAAAACAAAACAAAACUCACCCCAAAUCUCAAUGUAAGGCUAAAAGAGGGAAACAAAAGGAUUUUAUAAAAAAAAUAUUAGGCACUGCAGUGUUUUCAUUGUUAGGGAGUUUGUUUAUUGACAUUGACUGUGGGUAGUGCAGGUUGAAGCUGGAGCAGCGGUGAGGAACAACAGUGAGCAUCAGCCAGACAGAAACAAAGGCAGAGGAGUGGGGAGGCUGAAAUCUGCAGGAAACAUUACCUUGUGCUGUUCUGACACCCGAAACGAAACAAAGCAGAAGAACAAAGCUGAGCAAAAGCUGUGUUUCUGCCUGCUGAGAAAACCCCCACGACUCAGCAGAGAAACCCGCCCAAAGUGUGGGCAAAGCUGCUGUGGUUCUGAGACCUGAGCUGCUGUGGGAUCCCAGGGCAUCUUUGAUGCCGAGGAAGUAUUUAAUUGAGGGAGAUUGUCAGAGCACACAGCUAGGAUUAAAGGGCUCUGAAAGCCUUUUGGAAGUCUUUGCACUGUUCCUAAAAAGUAUCUUUCCUUUCAUCUUCAGAGUUGUCAAACCACUGCUUCAAAAGGUGCAGUAGUGGAGCAGGAGUGGAUUAAAAUGCUACUUAAAGCUCUUUCUGUUUGCUGUUCAUUUGGUGCUAAAUUUCUGUCUUUUUCAAGCACAUCCAGGUUAUAUUUUGAUGCUUUUGUUCCCCAAAAAUAAGUAUGAAAUUACCCUCCAAAAAUAGCCAGGCUGGUAUUUUAUUAUUACUAUUAUUAUUCAAACA